CAAUAAUUGAUUGUUGAUACAACACUCAGUCUUCAGUGCAGGCUAUCCUUGGUUAGCGGUUUCUAUGGCCAGGAUUUUCCUGGAAAAGUUGUGAGAGUUGGAGAACAUCUGCUGAAUAUCAGCCUUGUUUCCUCCUGGGUGCUGUUCCAGAUCAUUUCCGGGAGAGACAAAGGAAAAGAAGCUGUUUGCAGACUCUGCCAUUGGUGGAGAAGAGGCAAAGAAAGGACUUUCUUCAAGGAGGAAACUUCACUCUUCAUGGAUGUUAGCUCAAUAUCUUUACUUUGGAGUUGCUGGGUAUAGACCUUCUCCAUCUGUUUCAGGUGGCCUUCUGCUUUGCUGUAGGU